GCUACCGUGGUGUAACGGAAACACGUCUGACCCGGCUUGUCAGAAGACGUGGGUACGAAUCCCAUCAAUGGCG